rnacentral:rRNA from 1 species
CCUACGGGCGGCAGCAGUGGGGAAUAUUGGACAAUGGGGGCAACCCUGAUCCAGCCAUGCCGCGUGUGUGAAGAAGGCCCUCGGGUUGUAAAGCACUCUCAGUGAGGAAGAACGCCUGGUGGUUAAUACCCAUCAGGAAAGACAUCACUCACAGAAGAAGCACCGGCUAACUCCGUGCCAGCAGCCGCGGUAAUACGGAGGGUGCGAGCGUUAAUCGGAAUUACUGGGCGUAAAGCGCGCGUAGGUGGCUUGAUAAGCCGGUUGUGAAAGCCCCGGGCUCAACCUGGGAACGGCAUCCGGAACUGUCAAGCUAGAGUGCAGGAGAGGAAGGUAGAAUUCCCGGUGUAGCGGUGAAAUGCGUAGAGAUCGGGAGGAAUACCAGUGGCGAAGGCGGCCUUCUGGACUGACACUGACACUGAGGUGCGAAAGCGUGGGUAGCAAACAGGAUUAGAUACCCUAGUAGUC